rnacentral:rRNA from 1 species
CGAACGAAGUCUUCGGACUUAGUGGCGCACGGGUGCGUAACGCGUGGGAAUCUGCCCUUGGGUACGGAAUAACUCAGAGAAAUUUGUGCUAAUACCGUAUAAUGACUUCGGUCCAAAGAUUUAUCGCCCAAGGAUGAGCCCGCGUAAGAUUAGCUAGUUGGUGGGGUAAAAGCCUACCAAGGCGACGAUCUUUAGCUGGUCUGAGAGGAUGAUCAGCCACACUGGGACUGAGACACGGCCCAGACUCCUACGGGAGGCAGCAGUGGGGAAUAUUGGGCAAUGGGCGAAAGCCUGAUCCAGCAAUGCCGCGUGAGUGAUGAAGGCCCUAGGGUUGUAAAGCUCUUUUACCCGGGAUGAUAAUGACAGUACCGGGAGAAUAAGCUCCGGCUAACUCCGUGCCAGCAGCCGCGGUAAUACGGAGGGAGCUAGCGUUGUUCGGAAUUACUGGGCGUAAAGCGCGCGUAGGCGGCUUUUUAAGUCAGAGGUGAAAGCCCGGGGCUCAACCCCGGAAUUGCCUUUGAAACUGGAAAGCCAGAAUCUUGGAGAGGUCAGUGGAAUUCCGAGUGUAGAGGUGAAAUUCGUAGAUAUUCGGAAGAACACCAGUGGCGAAGGCGACUGACUGGACAAUCAUUGACGCUGAGGCACGAAAGCGUGGGGAUCAAACAGGAUUAGAUACCCUGGUAGUCCACGCCCUAAACGAUGAUUACUCGACGUGUGCGAUACACUGUACGCGUCUGAGCGAAAGCAUUAAGUAAUCCACCUGGGAAGUACGUUCGCAAGAAUGAAACUCAAAGGAAUUG